UCCCUGCUUCCUUGAUGCUGUGAAGCCUCCUUAGUUCCUACCCAUGUCAAACCUAGUCCCUAAAAAUUGUGCAAGUCUCCCACAAAUUUGACAGGACCUUAAUAUCGUUUCAAUAAGUUUCUCUUGGCUUAGGUUACUCAGAGUUGGAUUCUGUUACCUGCAACAAAGAAGCCUCACCAGACAAUGGUUUGCAUUGAAAUUAACAGGAAAGUUCACGCUUUUCCAGCUCAGAUCCCAGUGGGAUGGGGUAGAUUUAAGAACUUGCUAAAUGGAGUCUAAAGGUCAUCUGUAUGUGCAAGAUAUUCAAGAAGGUUUUGAAAAGGAAAUGUGAGGCCACAAAGAUCUAUGACUACACUAAGUGGGGACUAUGUUUUAUAGAACCACCAGUUUAAAGAUAAAGGGUCUCUGGCUGGUCUAAUUUGGCAGACAAAAAUUUCAUUCCCUAGUGCACAUAGCCUCUCACUCUGCUGGACUGAGCUGAGAUCCUGUCUAUAAAAGCUUGCUCUCGAUUUCAAAGGUCAGCACUCACAACGUGUGCAUCUGCCACCCUCUUAUUGAAGACCAAAGCGUGGCUGGGAGUGAUUUGAUAUUUAAGCAUGACCUGCCUGUCUAGACCUUUUUCAUUCUCUCUCUCUCUUGCUCCCACCCUCCCACUCACACUCCACCACUUACAGACCGACCUCACAGAUUCAAAACUUUUUUUAGCCUCUCAGAAAAAGAUGAAGAAAGGCUGCUUGGGUUCUGAAGGUCAGAAGGUCUCAACUCAAGGUCAGCAGGACUGUGUUCCUCCUGAAGGCCCCAGGGGAAGAUCUGUUUCCUUGCCUUCUCCAGCUUCUGGAGGCUGCAUGUGUCCCCUGGCUCACACUCCUCCCUCCAUCUUCAAAGCCAGAAGCACAGCAUCUUGAAACCUCCAUUUCUCUGACCUCUGCCACUGUCCUCACAUCUCCUGUGCAUCUGAACUUUCUGUGUUUCUGACUCUGCAUCCCCUCCAAUAAGGACCUAUGUGAUUACGCUGGGGAAAGUGUGAUCACUGGAGGAAGUAAGUCACCUCUGCAUCUUCAAGGUCCUCAAUUUAAUCACAUCUGUAAAGCUCCUGUUGCCAUGGAAGGUAACACAGUCAUAGAUUCUAGGGAUUAUGACCCAGUUAUCUAGUCUGUCUCCGGUAACCCCAGAGGUAUCUGGGACAGCACCCAACAAUCAGAAUCAUUAAUAUUUCUAUAGCAAAAUGUCUGAAUUGUUUGUGCUAAAUAAUACACAUCAGGAGUCACCAAACUACAC
rnacentral:lncRNA from 13 species